CUCCGACUCCUCGCAUGGGGUGUCGGGAAAGAUUUCAUCGGUAUGGGAUGGGGUCGCGUCCUAUCAGGUAGUCGGCGGGGUAACGGCCCACCGAGCCUACGACGGGUAGCCGGCCUGAGAGGGCGACCGGCCACAUUGGGACUGAGAUACGGCCCAGACUCCUACGGGAGGCAGCAGUGGGGAAUAUUGCACAAUGGGCGCAAGCCUGAUGCAGCGACGCCGCGUGCGGGAUGACGGCCUUCGGGUUGUAAACCGCUUUUGAUCGGGAGCAAGCCUUCGGGUGAGUGUACCUUUCGAAUAAGCACCGGCUAACUACGUGCCAGCAGCCGCGGUAAUACGUAGGGUGCAAGCGUUAUCCGGAAUUAUUGGGCGUAAAGGGCUCGUAGGCGGUUCGUCGCGUCCG
rnacentral:rRNA from 1 species